rnacentral:rRNA from 1 species
UACGUAGGUGGCAAGCGUUGUCCGGAAUUAUUGGGCGUAAAGCGCGCGCAGGCGGUCCUUUAAGUCUGAUGUGAAAGCCCACGGCUCAACCGUGGAGGGUCAUUGGAAACUGGGGGACUUGAGUGCAGAAGAGGAGAGUGGAAUUCCACGUGUAGCGGUGAAAUGCGUAGAGAUGUGGAGGAACACCAGUGGCGAAGGCGGCGACCUGGGCCAAUAUUGACGCUGAGGUGCGAAAGCGUGGGGAGCAAACAGG